AACUAACGCUGGCGGCGUGCCUAACACAUGCAAGUCGUACGAGAAAGCCGGCUUCGGCUGGUGAGUAAAGUGGCGCACGGGUGAGUAACGCGUGGAUAAUCUGCCCUUAAGUGUGGAAUAACGUACCGAAAGGUGCGCUAAUACCGCAUAAUGCCUGGCAACACAAGUUGUCCGGCCAAAGAAGGCCUCUGUUUACAAGCUUUCGCUUCAGGAUGAGUCCGCGUACCAUUAGCUUGUUGGUGGGGUAAUGGCCUACCAAGGCUGCGAUGGUUAGCUGGUCUGAGAGGAUGAUCAGCCACACUGGAACUGAGACACGGUCCAGACUCCUACGGGAGCAGCAGUAGGGAAUAUUGGACAAUGGGCGCAAGCCUGAUCCAGCCAUGCCGCGUGAGUGAAGAAGGCCCUCGGGUUGUAAAGCUCUUUUGUCCGGAAAGAAAGCGCCGGGUUAAUACCCCUGGUGUCCUGACGGUACCGGAAGAAUAAGCACCGGCUAACUCGUCG
rnacentral:rRNA from 1 species